ACGUAAACAUAAGUGUAAAGAAUUCGAGCUUACAGUCCGUGUAUUUUUAUUACCUAGCCUAUGUGAAGUUUUCAGUUGAAAUGCGAUAAUUUUACAUUUAAUCAUGCGCCGUGAAAUGCUUGACUUGUUUUAUGGAACGAGCAACGUAGACCUAGGCCUAGGUAAUACCUACUACUUAGUUGUAGGCCUCUUUAUCUGGUCCUAGAAUCAUCCAUCCCCAAAGAUACUACUACCUAGCUAGCCUAGAAAGCAUGUUGCUGUGAUGUUGCAAGAGACGACUUUCGUUCUUCAAAGAUGAAUGGAUGUCAAGAGAUACUCUGCGCAGAAAGGGCCGCUCCAAAAGCGUCCAGAAUUUGGGACCAACGCCGGACACGCCCAGUCGGUUCCGGAGG